rnacentral:rRNA from 1 species
CGGCACGCCUUAUACAUGCAAGUCGAACGAAGUAGCAAUACUUAGUGGCAGACGGGUGAGUAACAUGUAGGUAUCUACCCUUUGGUGAGGAAUAACACGAGGAAACUUGUGCUAAUACCUCAUAAGUCUUUACGGAGAAAGCUUUAUGCGCCGAAGGAUGAGCCUGCACUUGAUUAGUUUGUUGGUGGGGUAAUGGCCUACCAAGACUUUGAUCUAUAGCUGAUCUGAGAGGAUGAUCAGCCACAUUGGGACUGAGACACGGCCCAAACUCCUACGGGAGGCAGCAGUAGGGAAUAUUGCACAAUGGAGGAAACUCUGAUGCAGCGAUGCCGCGUGAGUGAAGAAGGCCUUUGGGUUGUAAAGCUCUUUCGUCGGGGAAGAAAAUGACUGUACCCGAAUAAGAAGGUCCGG